UUGCUUAUGUUGAUAAGGAUUAUGAGGCGGAUUCUGUAGUUGUAUGGAUAUUUUUCUUGUAACAGUGAUGAACGAUGAAAUGUAAAAAUCUUAUUCAGCUGCAAUGAUUCCAAUGAAGAAUGUCACCGUUAGUUCUAACGUGAUGUGAUUAAUAUCCAUAAUCUCAAAUUGUGAUUUA